rnacentral:rRNA from 1 species
ACAAUUAGUAUUAGUUAUGAUCUUGAAAUUUAAAAAAUUUGGCGGUAUUUUAGUCUAUUCAGAGGAACCUGUUCUGUAAUCGAUAGUCCACGAUAAGAAUUACUUAAAUUAAUUAGUUUGUAUAUCGUCGUUAUUAAUUAUUUUAUUAGAAUUUUAAUAAUUAAGAUUUUUUAUUGAAAAACAAAUCAGAUCAAGGUGCAGUUUAUAUUUAAGUAGAAAUGGGUUACAAUAAAUUUAUUUAUUAUGAAUUUUUAUAUUUAUAUUAAAAUGAAAGUGGAUUUGAUAGUAAGAAAAUUUUAUAUAUUUUUUUGAUUAAAGCUCUAAAAUGUGU